UUUUUUUUUUUGAGAAGAAAAAUAAGCUCAUAAUCACAUAAAUGUCUGACAAUUGUCAAAGCCACAUUAUCAAUAAAAUAUCAGAAGCAAGAAGGCUAAAUGUCUUUCAAUCGUUCCUGAGAUCACCAAAACCAUCAAAGUAUCAAAUUUUGCUUUCGAACAAACAACUAGUCAUGGCAGGAUGUAUCUAUGCUGUUCAAGGCAAGUGAAGCAGAUACUCCUUAACAGAUAAUUAACUUGGCUAACGCACCAAAUAUCGCUCAGUAUGACUUCCCGCAGUGUAUCAAGCUUCCAGCACCCAAGAAAAGACCAAAAAUGGCAGCACUGCCUAGUGUUGUUUGUCCAAUAUGCCUGAUCUUCAAAAGUCCUGGCACCUUAUACCUGAUUGCCUCAUAUGUCCCAUAUACAGCCCCGACAGCGCCACCAACAGCACCUCCGACAGCGACGCCGGCGGUCACACGAGCCAGGCAACUAUCCCUCGCCAUGCCAAUUAUACGAGAAUCUGUAUUCUGUACUUGCUGAUCGAUAUCUAAAUCAUAGCGGCUUUUUGCGGUUUUGCAGUUUAUGGGAGAGAAAUGUAAUUUGGACUUAAAAUUGUC
rnacentral:misc_RNA from 1 species